GCGACCCUGCGGUACGCGUGAUGGUUUUGGGAGUUUUGAGCCAGCACCUCAAUAAUAGGGAGUCGAUCGUCAAGGCUGAGUGGUAGCCCGUCAAACCGGCGGGAAUCGCGGAGGUCUUGACUAGACACCCACCCGUGGCAUACGGGUUCUAAGACGCCCUACCACACGGUACUCGCGGGGUGUUU
rnacentral:other from 1 species